UGUGCAAGGAACACAUUGGAGAGGAGCCGCACAUCAGACGGCAGAAGGUGAAGUGCCGCAAGAAAGAAAAGGUCGAAGGGCAGAGAGAGGAGAAGAAGUCAUACGGAUCGAGAAUCAAGCUUUAUCGAAGAAUCGGGUCAACUAUAAUCCAUGCAUGUUAGAUUAAGAGUUACAAGUCGCCAACGUUCAAGAAGACUUCUUCCCCUUAAGACUCGGGCAAAUCAGUUGGAAUGGAGACGUUGAACCCGAAAGACCAGGUCUACAACGUUUGAAUGGGGAAUAUCCGCCGAAUCCCGGUUUAAUAGGGUAGUUUGUUAAAUUUCUUUUACUAUAAAUAGAUGGAUCGGAUCAAGUUAAGGCACUCACUUUUCAUUCGCACAAUUUACACUCUAGCUGCUAGCAAUCACUACACAUAAACACUUGUACUCGAAUUAUCUUGUAACACCUAGUUGAUCCGCAUCACAUCCUGCACUGUAUCCUGAUAUUUGAAUCAAUUGAAGAACAAGGCAACUGUGAUUGUCAGCUCCCGAGGUUUUGUGC
rnacentral:lncRNA from 1 species